rnacentral:misc_RNA from 1 species
GAGCUCCCUUGCAAAUAUGGCUCUGUUGGCUGUCCUGAAAUAUUUCCUUAUUACAGUAAGCUAAAACAUGAGUCAGUUUGCAACUUUAGACCAUACAGCUGCCCGUAUGCUGGGUCUGAGUGCUCAGUUGUUGGUGAUAUUCCUUACUUGGUUACUCAUUUGAGGGAUGAUCACAAGGUAGACAUGCACUCAGGAUGCACUUUCAACCAUCGGUAUGUCAAAUCUAAUCCCCGAGAAGUAGAAAAUGCGACGUGGAUGUUGACAGUUUUCAAUUGUUUUGGUCAGUGUUUCUGUCUCCAUUUUGAAGCCUUUCAGCUGGGAACAGCUCCUGUAUACAUGGCGUUUCUUCGGUUUAUGGGAGAUGAGAUGGAGGCUCGAAACUAUAGCUACAGCCUGGAAGUUGGAGGUAAUGGAAGAAAACUUACUUGGGAGGGUACGCCCAGAAGUAUAAGAGACAGUCACAGAAAAGUAAGGGAUAGUCAUGAUGGGCUCGUCAUACAACGUAACAUGGCCCUUUUCUUUUCCGGAGGGGAGAGAAAGGAGCUUAAGUUACGAGUAACUGGAAGGAUAUGGAAGGAACAGCAGAAUCUUGACGGAGGAGCAUGUAUGCCCAACCUCUGUACUUAAUGCUGGUUUUGAACUCAAACACCUACUGUUCUUGCUGUCCCCUGUACUGAUUUUUCAAAACAUAAACAGAUUCAGACAUUGAAGAUUGUUCGAAA